UACGUAGGGUGCGAGCGUUAAUCGGAAUCAUUUGGGCGUAACGGGUGCGUAGACGGCUUACUAAGUCAACUGUUUAAUUCUCCGGCCUAACUGGAGGUCAGCGGUAGAAACUGGUAUGCUUGAGGUUGGAAGAGAGAAGUGGAAUUCUCGGAGUAGCGGUAAAAUGCGUAGAUCUCGAGAGGAACACCGAUGGCGAAGGCAGCUUCUUGGUCCAAAUCUGACGUUGAGGCACGAAAGCGUGGGGAGCAAACAGG
rnacentral:rRNA from 1 species